rnacentral:rRNA from 1 species
GAAUAUUGGACAAUGGGCGCAAGCCUGAUCCAGCCACGCCGCGUGAGUGAUGAAGGCCUUCGGGUCGUAAAGCUCUGUGGGGAGGGACGAACCGCCGGUGGCUAAUAUCCAUCGGCAUGACGGUACCUCCUUAGCAAGCCCCGGCUAACUUCGUGCCAGCAGCCGCGGUAAUACGAAGGGUGCAAACGUUGCUCGGAAUCAUUGGGCGUAAAGCGCACGUAGGCGGCUUCGCAAGUCGGAUGUGAAAUCCCACGGCUCAACCAUGGACGUGCAUUCGAAACUGCGGAGCUUGAGUAUGGAAGAGGGUCGCGGAAUUCCCGGUGUAGAGGUGAAAUUCGUAGAUAUCGGGAGGAACACCAGUGGCGAAGGCGGCGACCUGGGCCAAUACUGACGCUGAGGUGCGAAAGCGUGGGGAGCAAACAGG